ACGUACACUCCUACGGGAGGCAGCAGUGGGGAAUAUUGGACAAUGGGCGCAAGCCUGAUCCAGUCAUGCCGCGUGAGUGAUGAAGGCCCUAGGGUUGUAAAGCUCUUUCACCGGUGAAGAUAAUGACGGUAACCGGAGAAGAAGCCCCGGCUAACUUCGUGCCAGCAGCCGCGGUAAUACGAAGGGGGCUAGCGUUGUUCGGAUUUACUGGGCGUAAAGCGCACGUAGGCGGACUAUUAAGUCAGGGGUGAAAUCCCGGGGCUCAACCCCGGAACUGCCUUUGAUACUGGUAGUCUUGAGUUCGAGAGAGGUGAGUGGAAUUCCGAGUGUAGAGGUGAAAUUCGUAGAUAUUCGGAGGAACACCAGUGGCGAAGGCGGCUCACUGGCUCGAUACUGACGCUGAGGUGCGAAAGCGUGGGGAGCAAACAGGAUUAGAUACCCCUGUAGUCCCA
rnacentral:rRNA from 1 species